UACGGGGGGGGCAAGCGUUGUUCGGAAUUACUGGGCGUAAAGGGCUCGUAGGUGGCCAACUAAGUCAGACGUGAAAUCCCUCGGCUUAACCGGGGAACUGCGUCUGAUACUGGAUGGCUUGAGUGUGGGAGAGGGAUGCGGAAUUCCUGGUGUAGCGGUGAAAUGCGUAGAUACCAGGAGGAACACCGGUGGCGAAGGCGGUUUCCUGGCCGAGUACUGACGCUGAGGCACGAAAGCGUGGGGAGCGAACGGG
rnacentral:rRNA from 1 species